rnacentral:rRNA from 1 species
CCUACGGGCGGCAGCAGUGAGGAAUAUUGGUCAAUGGACGAGAGUCUGAACCAGCCAAGUAGCGUGAAGGAUGACUGCCCUAUGGGUUGUAAACUUCUUUUAUAUGGGAAUAAAAUGUUCCACGUGUGGGAUUUUGUAUGUACCAUAUGAAUAAGGAUCGGCUAACUCCGUGCCAGCAGCCGCGGUAAUACGGAGGAUCCGAGCGUUAUCCGGAUUUAUUGGGUUUAAAGGGGGCGUAGGUGGAUUGUUAAGUCAGUUGUGAAAGUUGGGGGCUCAACCGUAAAAUUGCAGUUGAAACUGGCAGUCUUGAGUACAGUAGAGGUGGGCGGAAUUCGUGGUGUAGCGGUGAAAUGCUUAGAUAUCACGAAGAACUCCGAUUGCGAAGGCAGCUCACUGGACUGCAACUGACGCUGAGGCUCGAAAGUGUGGGUAGCAAACAGGAUUAGAUACCCGAGUAGUC